rnacentral:rRNA from 1 species
UACGAAGGGGGCUAGCGUUGUUCGGAAUCACUGGGCGUAAAGGGCGCGUAGGUGGCCUGAUAAGGGUGUGGUGAAAGUCCGGGGCUUAACCCCGGAUCUGCCGUGCCGACUGUUAGGCUAGAGUGCUGUAGGGGCAGGCGGAAUUCCGGGUGUAGCGGUGGAAUGCGUAGAGAUCCGGAGGAAGACCGGUGGCGAAGGCGGCCUGCUGGGUAGAUACUGACACUGAGGCGCGACAGCGUGGGGAGCAAACAGG